rnacentral:lncRNA from 1 species
AUUUACAUUUGUUGUUACUGUAUUUUAAUCCUAAAUAGGGGGGAUGAUAAAAUCAAAAGGAGACAAGGAAAAAAUAAAGUAUUUAUUGUUAACUAUGACUAUUUCAUCAAAUAUGAUCAUAAUUUAGUUUUUGGCAUACAUUCAAGGGAAUGGAUCUAACCAUAAAUAAAAAGGAAUCCUCUAACCUCUAUGAAUCAAUGUAAGACUAUAUAAUUUUUAAAAAUCUUAUAAAUUCAUGUUGAUUAAAGUUUGAAAGCUAAAAUGCCCUAGAACAUUGAUUUCCAUUCCUUUUGAAUAAUGUCAAAUAUUUUCACAAAGCAAUGCUUUACUACCUCAUCUAAAAUUAUAAUGCUAUUUUAACUAUUUGUUGAGCAAGAAAAUUCAUAAUGGAAUUCAGUACAGCUUUUUAGUAAAUAUUUGAAUUUAUUUCUUAUUACAGCAAAAACCUAGAGAUUAAAAAAUGGAGUCACAUGGCUAAGCAAGAUGUAUUAUUUAUUCAGUCCAAAGAAAUGCUAUGUUACAUCUGGAUUCAAGGGACUUUGCAGUAAUUCCAAGAGGUAGAAUGUAAGUCCCUGGGGGAAAGAGUCUCCAUGUGUGUUCAGUGUUUUGUGUGUGAUGAAACCUAUAUGUGUUUUCAUUUUCUUUCCUCUAAGAAACUUUUAUAUACAUAUUAACAGUUGCAGAGCGUUAAUGGGAGAAGAGAAAUGAGCAUAAAGUAAAAUGCUAGUAGCAAUGAUUAAUGCAACACUUAUUGUGGCCAAGAAUUUUACAUUUGUUAUCUCAUUUAAGUUUCAUGAAAAUCUCCAUUUACAGAGAAGAAAACUG